UUCGGGGCUGGUACGGGCUGUAUCUUCGAUUCAGAUACGAGGAUCCGUCGUGGAGGACUAUGACGUCCUUGUUCAGCUUCGAGGCCUUGGAU
rnacentral:tRNA from 1 species